UGGGGAAUAUUGGACAAUGGGGGAAACCCUGAUCCAGCCAUGCCGCGUGAGUGAUGAAGGCCUUAGGGUUGUAAAGCUCUUUUACCAGGGAUGAUAAUGACAGUACCUGGAGAAUAAGCCCCGGCUAACUCCGUGCCAGCAGCCGCGGUAAUACGGAGGGGGCUAGCGUUGUCCGGAAUUAUUGGGCGUAAAGAGCUCGUAGGCGGCCCAACAAGUCGGAUGUGAAAUCUCAAGGCUCAACCUUGAAAUUGCAUCCGAUACUGCUGGGCUUGAGGCAGGUAGGGGAAAGUAGAAUUCCUGGUGUAGCGGUGAAAUGCGCAGAUAUCAGGAGGAACACCGGUGGCGAAGGCGGCUUUCUGGGCCUGUACUGACGCUGAGGAGCGAAAGCGUGGGGAGCAAACAGGAUUAGAUACCCCCGUAGUCC
rnacentral:rRNA from 1 species